CUGGAGUCAGUUAUUACACCUCCUUCAGCCAAGGGUGGCACCACCAGUUCUUGGAUUUUGAGGGCAAUUACUUUUCUACUUAGGGCACAAAACUGCUGCUCGUCUGUAAACCUGCCGGAGACUCCGUGGGCUAAAAUACUGUGAAUGAAUGUGUCAGCAGUAUGAGCCAUGCUGGCCUUUGAAACACCUGUCACACAUUCAGAAUUUCAAAAACAGACACGUGUUCCAGAGACACCUCCCCCACCACCGUGUGCCAGGAAAAGCUUUGUGUGGCUAGCUGGCUGACAGUUGCCAGGCCAGUGGUCCGGUACAGUCCAGUGCUCCUGGCACUGACGCCUGCCCAUCUGCCUGAGUUGACACGUUCGCUCCCACACCACUUGUCCAGGAGGACAAAAUGUGCUACGGUGUCCUGGCAAAGCUCCCUGAAAUGUCAACCUGGCGUGACAAACCCAUACCGUCCCCUUGGCCCUCGUAGGCCUGGUAGUGUUGGUGGGGCGCUGCCCUGGAUCAAGCAGGGAGCCAGAAACAUGCCAAGGUAACAACAACUGCUGAUCGACUGCCGGGGCGCUACCAUCUUGUCCAGUGUGGAUCGAGUUUGUUCGGGAUGGCUGUUCUCAUUACGGGGCUUGAACCUUGU